UACGUAGGGUGCAAGCGUUGUCCGGAAUUACUGGGCGUAAAGCGUGCGCAGGCGGUUUUGUAAGUCUGUCGUGAAAGCCCCGGGCUCAACCUGGGAAUUGCGAUGGAGACUGCAAGGCUUGAAUCUGGCAGAGGGGGGUAGAAUUCCACGUGUAGCAGUGAAAUGCGUAGAGAUGUGGAGGAACACCGAUGGCGAAGGCAGCCCCCCUGGGUCAAGAUUGACGCUCAUGCACGAAAGCGUGGGGAGCAAACAGG
rnacentral:rRNA from 1 species